rnacentral:rRNA from 1 species
GACGAACGCUGGCGGCGUGCUUAACACAUGCAAGUCGAGCGGAAAGGCCCUUCGGGGUACUCGAGCGGCGAACGGGUGAGUAACACGUGAGUAAUCUGCCCCAGGCUCUGGGAUAGCCACCGGAAACGGUGAUUAAUACCGGAUACGACAACCGAUUGCAUGAUCUGGUUGUGGAAAGUUUUUCGGCCUGGGAUGUGCUCGCGGCCUAUCAGCUUGUUGGUGAGGUAAUGGCUCACCAAGACUUCGACGGGUAGCCGGCCUGAGAGGGUGACCGGCCACACUGGGACUGAGACACGGCCCAGACUCCUACGGGAGGCAGCAGUGGGGAAUAUUGGACAAUGGCGGAAGCCUGAUCCAGCAACGCCGCGUGGGGGAUGACGGCCUUCGGGUUGUAAACCUCUUUCAGCACAGACGGAGCGCAAGUGACGGUAUGUGCAGAAGAAGGACCGGCCAACUACGUGCCAGCCGCCGCGGUAAUAC